rnacentral:lncRNA from 1 species
AUAAAGAGAGACCUCAGACAACAACACAACAUGGCAGCGGCUGAUCGGGCGGGGAAGAGCAUGUAGAACGACACUAGCAGAGGGCUGUAGGUUGCCACUAGAUAAUGGUUCAGCCACCACGUCUGUCCGGCCAGAACAAGUCCGGGUUGUCUUAACAACCAGUUUAUUCCACAUAUAUAAACUACCGUUCAAAAAGUUUAGAGUUUUGAACAGUAGUGUAGGUUCACCACUCCUCUGUGUUGACAGCUGCCAGUGGGCGACAGUUUAACAUACGUAGUUCAACAGGAAGGAACAGAAAUUAUUACCAUGAGAUUACAUAGAAAACAUACAGGCCCAUAGACUAGACUGGGGAGAUAUACAUGUUUCUAUACAGUAGACCAGAUUACAUAGAAAACAUACAGGCCCAUAGACUAGACUGGGGAGAUAUACAUGUUUCUAUAUAGUAGACCAGAUUACAUAGAAAACAUACAGGCCCAUAGACUAGACUGGGGAGAUAUACAUGUUUCUAUAUAGUAGACCAGAUUACAUAGAAAACAUACAGGCCCAUAGACUAGACUGUGGAGAUAUACAUGUUUCUAUAUAAGUAGACCAGAUGACAUAGAAAACAUACAGGCCCAUAGACUAGACUGGGGAGAUAUACAUGUUUCUAUAUAGUAGACCAGAUUACAUAGAAAACAUACAGGCCCAUAGACUAGACUGUGGAGAUAUACAUGUUGCUAUACAGUAGACCAGAUUACAUAGAAAAUACGUAGAAAUCACUUCCAGGACAAAGAGCCAAUACUGGUACACAUUAGAACCGAAACGUGACCGUGAUGUAACCCGAGGUCUGCGUAUGUGCAUGAGACCACGACCAACGUAGAAUAGUGACUGACCAACGUGGAAUAGUGACUGACCAAUGUGGAAUAGUGACUGACCAAUGUGGAAUAGUGACUGACCAAUGUGGAAUAGUGACUGCGCCAUGAGGAAUAGUGACUGACCAACAUGGAAUAGUGACUGACCAAUGUGGAAUAGUGACUGACCAAUGUGGAAUAGUGACUGACCAAUGUGGAAUAGUGACUGACCAAUGUGGAAUAGUGACUGACCAAUGUGGAAUAGUGACUGCGCCAUGAGGAAUAGUGACUGCGCCAUGAGGAAUAGUGACUGACCAACAUGGAAUACUGACUGCGUCAUGAGGAAUAGUGACUGACCAAUGUGGAAUAGUGACUGACCAACAUGGAAUAGUGACUGCGCCAUGAGGAAUAGUGACUGAUCAACAUGGAAUACUGACUGACCAACAUGGAAUAGUGACUGACCAGUGUGGAAUAGCGACCGACCAACGUGGAAUAGUGACUAACCAACAUGGAAUAGUGACUGACCAAAGUUGGAAUAGUGAUUGACCAACGUGGAAUAGUGACUGACCAACGUGGAAUAGUGACUGAUCAACGUGGAAUAGUGCAUGACCAAUGUGGAAUAGUGACUGCACCACGAGGAAAGGCUAAAUGUACCAUAAGCUACAUAAGGCUACACACACGGUAGUGUUACGAAACCCAGAACUAGCCUUCUGGUAUUGUUGCACUGGCUUUGUCUAGUGGGUCUUAGACCUAGUUACAUGGUCUAUAACCUGAAUCAAUGUGUGCAUUUAUGUGAGAAAUCAGCAUUUGAGGACCGUGUAUGACGCACAUGUUCCCAGGACACAGCAAUUUCCUGAGUCCAGUGCCAACUCCGUCUAGACCUCUGGGUCAGCCAAUCUAAGCAGACUAUUAUUAGUUCAGAUGAUGAUGAAAUGUUAAUAUGUACAAAAAGGAAAAUACCAAACUAAACACUCCAAAACAAAGGAAAGGCCUCAAGUCCACUAAACAAACCCAGCAGUCGAACAAGUCCACUGAACAAACCCAGCAGUCCAACAAGUCCACUAAACAAACCCAGCAGUCCAACAAGUCCACUAAACAAACCCAGCAGUCCAACUAGUCCACUAAACAAACCCAGCAGUCCAACAAGUCUACUAAACAAACCCAGCAGUCCAACUAGUCCACUGAACAAACCCAGCAGUCCAACAAGUCCACUAAACAAACCCAGCAGUCCAACAAGUCUACUAAACAAACCCAGCAGUCCAACAAGUCUACUAAACAAACCCAGCAGUCCAACAAGUCUACUAAACAAACCCAGCAGUCCAACAAGUCCACUAAACAAACCCAGCAGUCCAAUAAGUCCACUAAACAAAC